rnacentral:rRNA from 1 species
AUUGAACGCUGGCGGCAGGCCUAACACAUGCAAGUCGAACGAGUGGCGGACGGGUGAGUAAUGUCUGGGAAACUGCCUGAUGGAGGGGGAUAACUACUGGAAACGGUAGCUAAUACCGCAUACCAUCGGAUGUGCCCAGAUGGGAUUAGCUAGUAGGUGGGGUAACGGCUCACCUAGGCGACGAUCCCUAGCUGGUCUGCGAGGAUGACCAGUCAACCUGGAACUGAGAACCGGUCCAGACUCCUACGGGGGGCAGCAGUGGGGAAUAUUGCACAAGUGGCGCAAGCCUGAUGCAGCCAUGCCGCGUGUAUGAAGAAGGCCUUCGGGUUUUAAAGUACUUUCAGCGGGGAGGCGUUACCCGCAGAAGAAGCACCGGCUAACUCCGUGCCAGCAGCCGCGGUAAUAC